AACGAACGCUGGCGGCAUGCCUAACACAUGCAAGUCGAACGAGAUCUUCGGGUCUAGUGGCGCACGGGUGCGUAACGCGUGGGAAUCUGCCCUUUGGUUCGGAAUAACAGUUGGAAACGACUGCUAAUACCGGAUGAUGACGAAAGUCCAAAGAUUUAUCGCCAGAGGAUGAGCCCGCGUAGGAUUAGCUAGUUGGUGUGGUAAAGGCGCACCAAGGCGACGAUCCGUAGAUGGUCUGAGAGGAUGAUCAGCCACACUGGGACUGAGACACGGCACAGACUCCUACGGGAGGCAGCAGUGAGGAAUAUUGGACAAUGGGCGAAAGCCUGAUCCAGCAAUGCCGCGUGAGUGAUGAAAGCCUUAGGGUUGUAGAGCUCUUUUACCCGGGAUGAUAAUGACAGUACCGGGGGAAUAAGCUCCGGCUAACUCCGUGCCAGCCGCCGCCGUAA
rnacentral:rRNA from 1 species